rnacentral:rRNA from 1 species
UACAGAGGGGCAAGCGUUAUUCGGAAUUAUUGGGCGUAAAGGGCGCGUAGGCGGCUUUUCAAGUGGCGGGUGAAAGCCCUCGGCUUAACCGAGGAACUGCCUGCCAGACUGAAUGGCUUGAGACCGGGAGAGGUGAGUGGAAUUCCCAGUGUAGCGGUGAAAUGCGUAGAUAUUGGGAGGAACACCAGUGGCGAAGGCGGCUCACUGGACCGGAACUGACGCUGAGGCGCGAAAGCGUGGGGAGCAAACAGGG